AGAGUUUGAUCCUGGCUCAGAACGAACGCUGGCGGCAGGCUUAACACAUGCAAGUCGAACGCCCUUCUUCGGAAGGGAGUGGCAGACGGGUGAGUAACGCGUGGGAACCUACCUAAUAGUACGGAAUAAGAGAAAUUUGUGCUAAUACCGUAUACGCCCUUCGGGGGAAAGAUUUAUCGCUAUUAGAUGGGCCUGCGUAGGAUUAGCUAGUUGGUGGGGUAAUGGCCUACCAAGGCGACGAUCGUUAGCUGGUCUGAGAGGAUGAUCAGCCACACUGGAACUGAGACACGGUCCAGACUCCUACGGGAGGCAGCAGUGGGGAAUAUUGCACAAUGGGCGCAAGCCUGAUGCAGCCAUGCCGCGUGAGUGAAGAAGGCCUUCGGGUUGUAAAGCUCUUUUACCUGUGAUGAUAAUGACAGUAGCAGGAGAAAAAGCUCCGGCUAACUUCGUGCCAGCAGCCGCGGUAAUACGAAGGGAGCGAGCGUUGUUCGGAAUUACUGGGCGUAAAGCGUGCGUAGGCGGUUUAGUAAGUUAGAAGUGAAAGCCCUGGGCUCAACCUAGGAAUUGCUUUUAAAACUACUAAACUAGAAUCUCGGAGGGGAUGGUGGAAUUUCCAGUGUAGAGGUGAAAUUCGUAGAUAUUGGAAGGAACACCAGUGGCGAAGGCGACCAUCUGGACGAGUAUUGACGCUGAGGCACGAAAGCGUGGGGAGCAAACAGGAUUAGAUACCCUGGUAGUCCACGCCGUAAACGAUGUAAACUAGCCGUUGUGGGACCUUAGGUUUCAGUGGCGCAGCUAACGCACUAAGUUUACCGCCUGGGGAGUACGGCCGCAAGGUUAAAACUCAAAGGAAUUGACGGGGACCCGCACAAGCGGUGGAGCAUGUGGUUUAAUUCGAUGCAACGCGCAGAACCUUACCAGCCCUUGACAUCCUCUUGGGGCUUUCAGAGAUGAUCGCUUUCGGUUCGGCCGGGGAGUGAAUAGGUGCUGCAUGGCUGUCGUCAGCUCGUGUCGUGAGAUGUUAGGUUAAGUCCUGCAACGAGCGCAACCCUUAUCGUAUGUUGCCAUCAGGUUAUGCUGGGAACUCAUGCGAGACUGCCGGUGACAAGCCGGAGGAAGGCGGGGACGACGUCAAGUCAUCAUGGCCCUUACGUGUGGGGCUACAAACGUGCUACAAUGGUAACGACAAUGGGCAGCCACUUCGCAAGAAGGCGCUAAUCUCCAAACGUUAUCUCAGUUCGGAUUGUUCUCUGCAACUCGAGAGCAUGAAGUUGGAAUCGCUAGUAAUCGUGCAUCAGCAUGUCACGGUGAAUACGUUCCCGGGUCUUGUACACACCGCCCGUCACGUCAUGGGAGUUGGUUCUACCCGAAGGCCGUACGCUAACCUAUGGAGGCAGCCGACCACGGUAGGGUCAGUGACUGGGACGAAGUCGUAACAAGGUAGCCGUAGGGGAACCUGCGGCUGGAUCACCU
rnacentral:rRNA from 1 species